rnacentral:hammerhead_ribozyme from 1 species
GCACCGAUGAAGAGUCCCAAACUAGGACGAAACAGCUUUCCAGUAC